GAUGAACGCUAGCUACAGGCUUAACACAUGCAAGUCGAGGGGCAGCAUUUUUAUAGCGAUAUAAAAGAUGGCGACCGGCGCACGGGUGAGUAACACGUAUCCAACCUGCCGAUAACUCGGGGAUAACCCUUCGAAAGAAGGCCUAAUACCCGGUGGCAUAUCCCUUCCGCCUGGUGGGGAUAUUAAAGACUUCGGUUAUCGAUGGGGAUGCGUUCCAUUAGCUUGUGCGGGUAACGGCCACCAAGGCAUCGAUGGAUAGGGGUUCUGAGAGGAAGGUCCCCCCACAUUGGAACUGAGACACGGUCCAAACUCCUACGGGAGGCAGCAGUGAGGAAUAUUGGUCAAUGGACGAGAGUCUGAACCAGCCAAGCAGCGUGAAGGAUGAAGGUCCUAUGGGAUUGUAAACUUCUUUUAUACGGGAAUAAAGUGCAGUAUGCAUACUGUUUU
rnacentral:rRNA from 1 species